AACGAUGAAGCCUUUCGGGGUGGAUUAGUGGCGAACGGGUGAGUAACACGUGGGCAAUCUGCCCUUCACUCUGGGACAAGCCCUGGAAACGGGGUCUAAUACCGGAUAAUACUUCUGCCUGCAUGGGCGGGGGUUGAAAGCUCCGGCGGUGAAGGAUGAGCCCGCGGCCUAUCAGCUUGUUGGUGGGGUGAUGGCCUACCAAGGCGACGACGGGUAGCCGGCCUGAGAGGGCGACCGGCCACACUGGGACUGAGACACGGCCCAGACUCCUACGGGAGGCAGCAGUGGGGAAUAUUGCACAAUGGGCGAAAGCCUGAUGCAGCGACGCCGCGUGAGGGAUGACGGCCUUCGGGUUGUAAACCUCUUUCAGCAGGGAAGAAGCGAGAGUGACGGUACCUGCAGAAGAAGCGCCGGCUAACUACGUGCCAGCAGCCGCGGUAAUACGUAGGGCGCAAGCGUUGUCCGGAAUUAUUGGGCGUAAAGAGCUCGUAGGCGGCUUGUCGCGUCGGAUGUGAAAGCCCGGGGCUUAACCCCGGGUCUGCAUUCGAUACGGGCAGGCUAGAGUGUGGUAGGGGAGAUCGGAAUUCCUGGUGUAGCGGUGAAAUGCGCAGAUAUCAGGAGGAACACCGGUGGCGAAGGCGGAUCUCUGGGCCAUUACUGACGCUGAGGAGCGAAAGCGUGGGGAGCGAACAGGAUUAGAUACCCUGGUAGUCCACGCCGUAAACGUUGGGAACUAGGU
rnacentral:rRNA from 1 species